rnacentral:rRNA from 1 species
AUUGAACGCUGGCGGCAGGCCUAACACAUGCAAGUCGGGCGGUAGCACAGAGAGCUUGCUCUCGGGUGACGAGCGGCGGACGGGUGAGUAAUGUCUGGGAAACUGCCUGAUGGAGGGGGAUAACUACUGGAAACGGUAGCUAAUACCGCAUAACGUCGCAAGACCAAAGAGAGGGACCUUCGGGCCUCUUGCCAUCAGAUGUGCCCAGAUGGGAUUAGCUAGUAGGUGGGGUAAUGGCUCACCUAGGCGACGAUCCCUAGCUGGUCUGAGAGGACGACCAGCCACACGGGAACUGGGACACGGUCCAGGAGCGUACGGGAGGCAGCAGUGGGGAAUAUUGCACAAUGGGCGCAAGCCUGAUGCAGCCAGGCCGCGUGUAUGAAGAAGGCCUUCGGGUUGUAAAGUACUUUCAGCGAGGAGGAAGGCAUUGUGGUUAAUAACCACAGUGAUUGACGUUACUCGCAGAAGAAGCACCGGCUAACUCCGUGCCAGCAGCCGCGGUAA